CGGUAAUUCCAGCUCCAAUAGCGUAUAUUAAAGUUGUUGCAGUUAAAAAGCUCGUAGUUGAAACUUGGGUCUGGCUGGCAGGUCCGCCUCACCGCGUGUACUUGUCCGGCCGGGCCUUCCUUCUGGAGAACCUCAUGCCCUUCACUGGGCGUGCUGGGGACCAGGACUUUUACUUUGAAAAAAUUAGAGUGUUCAAAGCAGGCCUUUGCUCGAAUACGUUAGCAUGGAAUAAUAGAAUAGGACGUGCGGUCCUAUUUUGUUGGUUUCUAGGACCGCCGUAAUGAUUAAUAGAGACAGUCGGGGGCAUCAGUAUUCAAUUGUCAGAGGUGAAAUUCUUGGAUUUAUUGAAGACUAACUACUGCGAAAGCAUUUGCCAAGGAUGUUUUCAUUAAUCAGUGAACGAAAGUUAGGGGAUCGAAGACGAUCAGAUACCGUCGUAGUCUUAACCGUAAACUAUGCCGACUAGGGAUCGGGCGAUGUUCUUUUUCUGACUCGCUCGGCACCUUACGAGAAAUCAAAGUUUUUGGGUUCUGGGGGGAGUAUGGUCGCAAGGCUGAAACUUAAAGAAAUUGACGGAAGGGCACCACCAGGCGUGGAGCCUGCGGCUUAAUUUGACUCAACACGGGGAAACUCACCAGGUCCAGAUGAAAUAAGGAUUGACAGAUUGAGAGCUCUUUCUUGAUUUUUCAGGUGGUGGUGCAUGGCCGUUCUUAGUUGGUGGAGUGAUUUGUCUGCUUAAUUGCGAUAACGAACGAGACCUUAACAUAUUAACUAGCCAGGCUAGCUUGGUCUGGUCGCUGGCUUAUUAGAGGGACUAUCGACUCAAGCCGAUGGAAAUGCGAGACAAUAUCAGGUAUGUGAUGACAUUAGAUGUUCUGCACCCCACGCGCGCUACCAGAACAGAGCCAAUGAGCUCUUCACCUGAAACGAAAGGCUAGUGUAAUCUAGUUAAACUCUGUCGUGGAGGGGACAGAGCAUUUCAAUUUUUUCUCUUCAGCGAGGAAAGCAUAGUAAGCUCGUCUCCUCAGCAUGCGUUGAUUACGUCCCUUCCCUCACUACACACCUCCCGUCGCUAGUACCGAUGGAACGGCUCAGCGAUGCCUUCGGACUGGCGAGGGGAGCAUGGCACCGACCAACCUAAACAGGAAAUCUAGUCUAAACUCAGGUCAAUUAGAGGAAGUAUAAAGUCAUAACAAGGUAUAACGUAAGA
rnacentral:rRNA from 1 species